AUCCAGCUGACGAGUCCCAACUAGAACGAAACGUACCUCCUGAAU
rnacentral:hammerhead_ribozyme from 1 species